rnacentral:rRNA from 1 species
AGUGAACGCUGGCGGUAGGCCUAACACAUGCCAGUCGAACGGCAGCACAGUAAGAGCUUGCUCUUACGGGUGGCGAGUGGCGGACGGGUGAGGAAUACAUCGGAAUCUACUUUUUCGUGGGGGAUAACGUAGGGAAACUUACGCUAAUACCGCAUACGACCUACGGGUGAAAGCAGGGGAUCUUCGGACUUUGCGCGAUUGAAUGAGCCGAUGUCGGAUUAGCUAGUUGGCGGGGUAAAGGCCCACCAAGGCAACGAUCCGUAGCUGGUCUGAGAGGAUGAUCAGCCACACUGGAACUGAGACACGGUCCAGACUCCUACGGGAGGCAGCAGUGGGGAAUCUUGGACAAUGGGCGCAAGCCUGAUCCAGCCAUACCGCGUGGGUGAAGAAGGCCUUCGGGUUGUAAAGCCCUUUUGUUGGGAAAGAAAAGCAGCAGGUUAAUACCCCGCUGUUCUGACGGUACCCAAAGAAUAAGCACCGGCUAACUUCGUG